rnacentral:rRNA from 1 species
AUUCCAGCUCCAAUAGCGUAUAUUAAAGUUGUUGCGGUUAAAAAGCUCGUAGUUGGAUUUCCGUCGAAAACGAUCGGUCCGUUCUACGAACGUGUAUCUGAUUCGGUUUUGGCAUCCUCUUGAAGAACAGCUCUGUGCUUUAGUGCGUGGACUGGUAUUCAAGACUUUUACUUUGAGGAAAUUAGAGUGUUCACGGCAGGCAAGCGCCUUGAAUACAUUAGCAUGGAAUAAUAAUAUAGGGCUUUGGUUCUAUUUUGUUGGUUUCUAGGACUAGAGCAAUGAUUAAUAGGGAUAAUUGGGGGCAUUUGUACUAACGCGUCAGAGGUGAAAUUCUUAGAUUGCGUUACGACAAACUACUGCGAAAGCAUUUGCCAAGGAUGUUUUCAUCG